UAGGGAAUAUUGGACAAUGGGGGCAACCCUGAUCCAGCCAUGCCGCGUGAGUGAAGAAGGCCCUCGGGUUGUAAAGCUCUUUUGUCCGGAAAGAAAAGCAUUCGGUGAAUACCCGGAUGUUCUGACGGUACCGGAAGAAUAAGCACCGGCUAACUUCGUGCCAGCAGCCGCGGUAAUACGAAGGGUGCAAGCGUUACUCGGAAUUACUGGGCGUAAAGCGUGCGUAGGUGGUUGUUUAAGUCUGAUGUGAAAGCCCUGGGCUCAACCUGGGAAUGGCAUUGGAAACUGGGCAGCUAGAGUGCGGUAGAGGGUAGUGGAAUUCCCGGUGUAGCAGUGAAAUGCGUAGAGAUCGGGAGGAACAUCUGUGGCGAAGGCGACCGCCUGGACCAGCACUGACACUGAGGCACGAAAGCGUGGGGAGCAAACA
rnacentral:rRNA from 1 species